UUGUCGCCCAUUAGUGAUAGGAUUAGGUUUGUUUUAAGUUGAAUUCAAAAGAUUUGAAUUUAAACCUAUUUCAUUGCACAAAUUAUUUUAUGUGCUGAAUAAUCCAUGUCAAAGCCUCCUAUUAUCACCCAUUAGUGAUAGGAUUAGGUUUGUUUUAAGUUGAAUUCAAAAGAUUUGAAUUUAAACCUAAAACUUUAUCCUUAUCCUCCCACACGCCAGCACCUUGUGAAGGAUCUUGAUUUGUGCGACA
rnacentral:lncRNA from 1 species